rnacentral:rRNA from 1 species
UAGGGAAUCUUCGGCAAUGGACGAAAGUCUGUCCGAGCAACGCCGCGCGAGUGAAGAAGGUUUUCGGAUCGUAAAACUCUGUUGUUAGAGAAGAACAAGGACGUUAGUAACUGAACGUCCCCUGACGGUAUCUAACCAGAAAGCCACGGCUAACUACGUGCCAGCAGCCGCGGUAAUACGUAGGUGGCAAGCGUUGUCCGGAUUUAUUGGGCGUAAAGCGAGCGCAGGCGGUUUCUUAAGUCUGAUGUGAAAGCCCCCGGCUCAACCGGGGAGGGUCAUUGGAAACUGGGAGACGUGAGUGCAGAAGAGGAGAGUGGAAUUCCAUGUGUAGCGGUGAAAUGCGUAGAUAUAUGGAGGAACACCAGUGGCGAAGGCGGCUCUCUGGUCUGUAACUGACGCUGAGGCUCGAAAGCGUGGGGAGCAAACAGG